rnacentral:rRNA from 1 species
GAUGAACGCUGGCGGCGUGCUUAACACAUGCAAGUCGAACGGAAAGGCUCCUGCUUGCAGGGGUACUCGAGUGGCGAACGGGUGAGUAACACGUGGGUGAUCUGCCCUGCACUUCGGGAUAAGCCUGGGAAACUGGGUCUAAUACCGGAUAGGACGAUGGUUUGGAUGCCAUUGUGGAAAGUUUUUCGGUGUGGGAUGAGCUCGCGGCCUAUCAGCUUGUUGGUGGGGUAAUGGCCUACCAAGGCGUCGACGGGUAGCCGGCCUGAGAGGGUGUACGGCCACAUUGGGACUGAGAUACGGCCCAGACUCCUACGGGAGGCAGCAGUGGGGAAUAUUGCACAAUGGGCGCAAGCCUGAUGCAGCGACGCCGCGUGGGGGAUGACGGCCUUCGGGUUGUAAACUCCUUUUGCUAGGGACGAAGCGCAAGUGACGGUACCUGGAGAAGAAGCACCGGCUAACUACGUG